rnacentral:rRNA from 1 species
UACGUAGGGGGCUAGCGUUGUCCGGAAUCAUUGGGCGUAAAGCGCGUGUAGGCGGCUCGAUAAGUCUGCUGUGAAAGUCGGGGGGCUCAACCCUCGAAUGCCGGUGGAUACUGUCGGGCUAGAGUGCGGAAGAGGCGAGUGGAAUUCCUGGUGUAGCGGUGAAAUGCGCAGGAUAAUCGGGAGGAACACCAAUGGCGAAGGCAGCUCGCUGGGACGGUACUGACGCUGAGACGCGGAAAAGCGGUGGGGAGCAACAGGG